rnacentral:rRNA from 1 species
CCAUCCCAGUUCGGAUCGCAGGCUGCAACCCGCCUGCGUGAAGUUGGAAUCGCUAGUAAUCGCGGAUCAGCAUGCCGCGGUGAAUACGUUCCCGGGCCUUGGACACACCGCCCGUCACACCAUGAGAGUCGGGAACACCCGAAGUCCGUAGUCUAACCGCAAGGGGACGCGGCCGAAGGUGGGUUCGAUAAUUGGGGUGAAGUCGUAACAAGGUAUC